AAUCAGUAAUCCAUAAGCAAAAUAUACAUAAGCUACGCUGCAAACUAGAUGCUACUAUUUUAUACAAAUUGAAAGACCAGUCACUAGCAUAUGCCACAACCACCUACAGCAGCACCCUCUUGAUUGAAGAACCACAUACGCAUGAUCGCGAUUUUGAAAUCACAAGACAUUUAAUAAGAGAACAUUGUAUCUGGACAAAAGAGUCAACUUUUUGGUGAAUGUUCUGCAUCAGAUCCACCUCCUGAGGAACUUUCACUAUCAGAAUCACUUGAUGAUGACACCGAGUCAGUGCUAGAGCUGCCUGGUUGACUAAUAUUUUUCCCCUGAUUUUCUAGUUGAGCAAGAUUGGAGGGAGUACCUUUCUCUUCUCCUUUGCUUUCUUUUGGAAUUUCUACCACAACUGGGUUAGCAUUCUUCUCCUGAACAUUCUGUUCAGUUUCCUUUUUUUCUUGAUCUGCAAGUUCAGUUUUUCUUUUGUUCUUGCUCAAGCUCUUUUUGUAAUAGAUAACAAACCGGUCGAGCUCCCAUAGGGUCUCAGUAUCAACACUGUCAAUAUCCACUUCAAUCUCAUCAUCCUGUUGGCAAAGAGAUGAAUUCCUCUUUUUGAUGAUCUGUACAACAUUUUCAAGCUUUUCAGAUGGCAAAUUCUGUAGGCUUGUGCUAAGCUUUUGCUUCUCAUCAUAUGUCAUUUCCCUUUUAUUGGGAUCCUUUGCUUUCGGCUUCUUUGGUGCAGGGAUCCUUCCAGAUUGGGAGACUGUGACAGAUUUAGUCUUGGAACCAACAGGUCUGGUCGUUGAUUCUGACCUGUCUAAAGUCUUCCUCAUUCCAGAAGGCCGCAAUGGUGGAGGUUUCUUAGAUGUAGGAGUCUGCAUCACCUCAGAGUCCAUUGACAAUCUCAACUCGCGCAUAUAAUCAGCCUCUAUAGAGGGCCACUUCUCCUCAAAUAUCUUGGAAAGUUGCUCAGCCAUCAUAUAAACAUCUUGACCCUUUGGGUUAUACGUCAUGGCAUUUUGAAACGUUAGUCUCACAUCCUCAGCAAAUUCUUUAGGAGACUUGUACAGAUUUGUCUCAAGCCUGGACUUCACAGUUCCCAGGUCCAUUGGAUUCUUAAUAAUGUCAAAAUAGUCAUGUAAACCAAGACCUUCUGUAUCAACAGGCUGGUUAAACACCCAACCAUGCUUGUGCUUCAUCAAUCUUUCAAGCAAAGCACGACAAUUCUUUAGCAUUUGAUUUGAGAACUUCACUAACUCAAUACCAGGUCCUGAUUCUGGCCCACUCACUUUCUUUGCAUUUGAUUUCGACUUCUUGUUGCUUUCAGCUGGGGGAAUCUUAUCCUUAGCUAAGAGAAAUUCUGAGUUCCUAUAAAAUUGGUUUACCUUUGGUGUCCUCUUCUCUUUCUCCAAAUUCUCACCAACACCAUGGCUGUUCUCCAAAACUGACACACUUAACUGAUUCAAAGGCCUGGACUCAAGGUGUUGCCCCAUUUUUGACACGUCUGAAUGUACCCGUCGCACCCCACUAUCCUUAUCAAUUCCAGGGCCAGUCUUCUGUACAUCUUUUGCCUCAAUCUUCAUCACCAAACUCCUAACCAAGUCCAAUUCACUCUGCAGCUUUCUUCUUAUCUCUCUCAUCUCCCGCUUGGACUUGAACGUCAAAUUGAUUCUAGCACUGUUUUCUUGACCACUACCUAGGAUUUCAGAAUGCGAAUGUUGUAAGCCAUCACCUAUGCUAUUUAACCCUUUAAACGACUUCCGUCUGUACACUUUGCUUUCAGUCAUAUUCUGCUGCUCUUCCGAUCCUUGAUCUUCACCAUUCAUCAUUGUCCCUUUAGUAGAUCUUAGAAUACACACACAGAGUUUCUCUCUCUAUCUCUCUCUAUCAUUCAGAUGCUCAGUCUCUCUCUAUCAAUCAGCUGUUUACUGCAAAUCGUUCUUUGUUUUUUCCCAAAUAUCGGAAAAGAAUCGGUGAGCGGAGGAGAGGAGGGAGAAAUGCGAUUCGCGUGCAGGCCACGACGUUAUUGACGGCUAAGAUUUUGUCAUCGCGAAGAAGCUCAGAUAUCGACGGCGUGGAUUUCUGGUUGAUCGGAGCGUCAACAUUUGUCUUGGUGUUUGCAGACGUUAACCACGCGUUGAUGGUGGCGCGUGGGAAGUGUUUGGUUCUGUAGAGUUGG
rnacentral:misc_RNA from 1 species